rnacentral:rRNA from 1 species
CGCGAGCUGGGUUCAGAACGUCGUGAGACAGUUCGGUCCCUAUCUGUCGUGGGCGUAGGAAAUUUGAGAGGAGCUGUCCUUAGUACGAGAGGACCGGGAUGGACGUACCGCUGGUGUACCAGUUGUUCCGCCAGGAGCACCGCUGGGUAGCUAUGUACGGACGGGAUAAGCGCUGAAAGCAUCUAAGCGUGAAGCCCCCCUCAAGAUGAGAUUUCCCAGUAUGUAAGACCCCUUGAAGACGACGAGGUAGAUAGGCUGGGGGUGGAAGUGCAGUAAUGCAUGGAGCUGACCAGUACUAAUCGGUCGAGGGCUUAUCCAA